rnacentral:rRNA from 1 species
AGUGAACGCUGGCGGUAGGCCUAACACAUGCAAGUCGAACGGCAGCACAGUAAGAGCUUGCUCUUACGGGUGGCGAGUGGCGGACGGGUGAGGAAUACAUCGGAAUCUACUUUUUCGUGGGGGAUAACGUAGGGAAACUUACGCUAAUACCGCAUACGACCUACGGGUGAAAGCAGGGGAUCUUCGGACCUUGCGCGAUUGAAUGAGCCGAUGUCGGAUUAGCUAGUUGGCGGGGUAAAGGCCCACCAAGGCGACGAUCCGUAGCUGGUCUGAGAGGAUGAUCAGGCACACUGGAACUGAGACACGGUCCCGACUCCGAAGGGAGGCAGCAGUGGAGAAUAUUGGACGAUGGGGGAAAGCCUGAUCCAGCCAUACCGCGUGGGUGAAGAAGGCCUUCGGGUUGUAAAACCCUUUUGUUGGGAAAGAAAAGCAGCAGGUUAAUACCCCGCUGUUCUGACGGUACCCAAAGAAUAAGCACCGGCUAACUUCGUG